UAGGGAAUCUUCGGCAAUGGACGAAAGUCUGACCGAGCAACGCCGCGUGAGUGAAGAAGGUUUUCGGAUCGUAAAACUCUGUUGUUAGAGAAGAACAAGGACGUUAGUAACUGAACGUCCCCUGACGGUAUCAAACCAGAAAGCCACGGCUAACUACGUGCCAGCAGCCGCGGUAAUACGUAGGUGGCAAGCGUUGUCCGGAUUUAUUGGGCGUAAAGCGAGCGCAGGCGGUUUCUUAAGUCUGAUGUGAAAGCCCCCGGCUCAACCGGGGAGGGUCAUUGGAAACUGGGAGACUUGAGUGCAGAAGAGGAGAGUGGAAUUCCAUGUGUAGCGGUGAAAUGCGUAGAUAUAUGGAGGAACACCAGUGGCGAAGGCGGCUCUCUGGUCUGUAACUGACGCUGAGGCUCGAAAGCGUGGGGAGCAAACAGG
rnacentral:rRNA from 1 species